rnacentral:misc_RNA from 1 species
UUGAGGGGAUGGAUUGCGCCUCAUGUGCCCCCAAGAUCGAAACAGCGUUGCAUCGGAUAGACGGCGUAACGGAUGUGGCGGUGUCGGUACCUCGCGGCACCGUGACUGUGCUGCAUGACGGAAAGGAGAUUGAUGAUNNACAGAUUUCGGAUCUAGGCUAUCAAGUGACUCGGCUGGAGGCGGUCAGUGGCGAUGGUCCU